CAUAAGAGCUGGGAGGCCAGGUUUGAAUUCAGAAUUCCAGGGCUCUCUGGAGUUCCACUCCAGAAUGUGGCAGAGCUCGUUCAGAAUGUGGGGAGAGCUCAUCCAGGUCAAGGCCUGGCCCCUUGCCUGUGUCCCCACAACUUCCUCUGGCACUGCCAAGGCCUCUGCUGCGCACACGCAGACACCCGGCCCGAAGUCCCAGUUCCACCCACCCUUCCACGGAGAGCUGCCCCUGGCGGCCCACACACCUGCACACUUGAUUUGGGUCACCUUUGGAGGACGUACCCAGGAAGGAGCUCUGAGAGGAAGCCCCCUGCCAUUUGGGCAGGAAAUUCAGAGUCCCAGGUCAGGGCUCCCAGAGCAGGUGCCCCAAGACAGGAAGUGAAAGCUGCCAGACACUUAAAGCCCGGACCCGGGAACCAGGACAGCAGCCCUUCCACCAUUCCCUAUCAGUCAACUGGCUCUAGAUCCCAACCUCGUUCACAGAGAAGGGACAGAGAGUCCACAUCUCAAUGGGAAAAGGAGCAAAGAACUGUGGCCAUCUUUAAUCUAUCACAGAUGGAAAAUUUACAGGUGAAGAAGCUGAGGCCCAAAGAGGUGAGGGACUUGGACAGCAGCAUGUGGUGGAGCGCGUGCUCCCUCCUACCCAACGCUUUGGCCUUGGAAUGUCCAGCCCACUGGAGAUAUGAAACUUGCACUCAUGAGAUAAUCGGCAGGAAAUAAAGAGAGCUCUUUCUGUGACCUUCUCCAACUCAACAACCCCAACGACACUGGGUCUGACGGAGCUCUUCGGGAACCCCAUCAGGACAACCCCUUUCACCUGUAAGUGUUUAUUGCACAAGAGCAACCCUCACAGUCGACCCAGGUGAAGCCACCCCCCCUCACAGGUAACCGAAAUACACCUGGGCCGCCUCUGAGUUGAACUCAAAUGGAACAUGGCGCUCUCCCAAAGCCUCGACAAUUUUCCUAAAGUCUCUUGAAGAGGGAGAGACAGGAGGACAGAAAGGAGAGGCGCUCGGGAACCGUAUGCCAAACCCGCAGCCCACGGUCCACUUCCUGAAAACCCUGGUACCCACUUCUCUCUCCAGAGCCCCACAACCACAGGGCGGGCGCUCCUCCGCCUUCCCCUCACGCUCAAACUCCGCGGGGCCCGCUGGCUCCUCGAGCACUCAGCCCCGCUUCCCCGCUCUCUCCCGCACACCCUGCCAACAGUUUCCUUCCGAGAGUAGCCCUAAGUGCUUUCUUUUGAAAAUCAAUUUAGCCUCUCUAACCUCUAGCAUUUUCCUGUGGCCUCCUCAGCCAUUAUCCCAAUUAACACAACAAAGGGCCGGGUUCGGAAGGCCGUGCAGAGUCAAGGGGAAAGGCUGUGAAUAAAAACCUGUUUGUCACUGUCGUUUGUCUUAUUGGGUGUGAUGGAAGAUUCUGAGCCGCAGCUGAGGGCACCUGGCUUUCACCUCAGCCCAGUCGUUCAUUACGUGUGCGACCUCCCUCCAACAGGUCGUUUAACAGUAGGACCUUCACUUAAGAAUAGAAACUGGGGAUAGCGGCUCCCCCCUGUGGGAUGAGAGACACUGUGAACUUUGAACCUGCCAGGUCUGGAGAUGAAGAGGGAUAGCCAGGAUCCUGUUUUGGACAAAAAGCAUCACCGAGUCUCACCCUGAGGAAACAGAUCCAAACUGAAGAACAUUUCCCAAAACAACGGGUCUGUGGUCCUCAGAAAUGCCAAGGUGAGACAGGACAAAGGGAGGAGAGCAGAGAGACACGCCAGCUGAACGCACUGUGUGAUCUGGGGUCAGGUCCCCAGUCUGGGGAGCGGGGUUUCUGUAAAGGACCUUGAAGGGACAAGUGGGGAAAUGUACAUGAAUCGUGCGUUAGAUAAAAGCUUUGAGUCCGUGUCGGCUCUCUUGAAUCCGGUAAAUCGUGCAGAGGGUAAGAUGACGCCCUCGUGUUUUGGAGAUACACGCUGAAGUAUUUAGGG
rnacentral:lncRNA from 1 species